rnacentral:lncRNA from 1 species
UGACCCACAACUUUUUCUUACUUUUAACCAUACAUUAUCCAAAAAAAAAAAAAAAAUCAUUUUGACCAAAUCUUUUCCCAAAAAAAUCUACAUUACCCUCAAGAUUACAGUUUUCAAUCUAUAAGUAUAUCCCCCUAAAACCGCCAUGCUGAAGGACAGGACAGACGAGUUCUCUGCCCAAGUAGCUCGAGGAGGACACUCCUGUGCAGCAACACUUUCAUCUCGUUAGCUUUACAACUUCGAGUUUAAUUUUUAACACAAUUGGAUUUACAUAACCUGUUUGUUAGGAAACAUCAAAUGUGUCUCCAAACUCUACAUAGGACCCGACCGGGCUGCCACCCCACACAAAAUUGCUGUGUCACCACAAGAAUUGAGCUGUUUGAUCUUUUGUUCCAGAACUAUAGUCCUUCAAGAGCCAUUUGUUCUUCAAUUUUGUGCACAAAUCGAGACUCAUAGGACCACCAGGGGUCACUGAUAAUUUCCUACCAGUCACAAAAUUUCCACUCACACCAGAAGUACUUAUAAACAUCGUCAUUAAAACACAUACAAAUCCCUUUUGUUCAGGAAACUGACCUGAAGAAACAUCUUUCAUUAUGCAAACAAAUUCAAUUCCUAACACCAUUUUAAAAGAAGAAGAAGCAAUAAAUGCUGAUAAUGUAAAUGUCAAACAAGAACCACAAGAACUAGUAUAAUUUUCAGGAACUAACCAAAUGUUGUUCAAUCCUCUGCAGACAUACCUUAAUGUAAGAACUGACUUGAUACUACAGUCUUCCAAGUUGAAGAUCCACAUAACGGGUUGGCCAGCGCACUAUUUUACUAGUUUUUUCAGGGUUACCUCACAAUCAACCAUCCAUAAGUUCUUUUGCAAGCCAAGCCAGGAGCAAUCCCAGUCUAGUCCAUCCAAGUAAUCAUCAAUGAUGUAAAUUUCGCUGGCCUUGCAUUCUGGAUCAAAUAUUUGACUUCUGGCUAUUUUUUGCCAGAAGGAGAUAAGUCAUGACAAACAAAAUCACACAUCUCAACUUUGAUCUCGAGUCCAGUCUGUUCUCUUGUUAAAUUAGGUUGUAUAUUCAAUUCCUCGAAUAUCUUUAUGCAGUAAACAAAUCUAAGAUUACAUAAGAUGUAUGAAACAGGCAGAAUUUUGCUUCUCAAAUUUCAUGAGUCUGAGCAGCCACGACUUCUUUCCAAGUAAAAAUGUUAGUCUGUACACCUCACUUUUUUGUAUUUGCAGGAUCCUUUUCUCAAGCAUCAGUACAUCUUGAGUUCACUGCCUCGUGGACAUAAAUUCCAAUCCAUGGAUGCCAGCUAAGUCAUUUCUCAAUUGAUGUGCAAUUUUACGCGCUGCAGAAAAAUAUUCCAAUGAAUUCAUG